rnacentral:lncRNA from 1 species
CCCAGGAUUGCAUACUUUGUACAUGGCGAUCCUAGCGUUUGGUGAACCUCCCUUAGCUGUUCCUGAAGCUACACCAUAGUAGGACGCGUUCUCCACGGCUGAUCCAGCUGCAGUGGAGGAGGUGUGAGUACCGUGACCGAUCACAUCCCUUGUGGUGAAGUAUUCUGAAUCAUCAUCAGAACUUUUGUAGAAUCUUGCUCCGAUUAUCUUUCUGAAAUAAGACAGUACUCAAUAAAAGUUAGCAACAUAAUAUAUAGUGUAAAUGUUUUGAAGUCUGUGAAAGAAAAUGUGUAACCUGUUACAGUUAGAAGAGUUGAAGUCCUUUGCUUCCAUGCAUGUACCUUUCCACCUAGAUGGAAUUGGACCCAUGUCUUUGUCAUUAAAACUCUCUGAUUCUGGCCAUAUUCCUGUUUUUUUUUCAUAUUGUAUCAAACUCAUAACUAUAUAUAUGAUGUUGUAAUGGAUGCAAUGAGUAAAAAGGCUUUACCUGUGUCUAGAAUACCGAUAAUGCUAUCGUAUGAUCCAGCUUCUGGUGAAGAAGGUGGACUAGAAUCGAUCUUUACAGCUGUUUGGUACUUGAGAAAAUCCCACGAAUGAGUUGUGUGAAGCUGGUAGUUUGGGUCAGGAAAAACCGACACGACUCCAGUUUUCUUGGCUAUGACUUUGGCCUCUUCAGCUGACAAACGAGCAGCGAAACCAGUGAACCCGUGUUUAUAUGUGUGGACGAUAUCAUUAGCUCUCCUACAACAACAAACCCAUCUCACAAUCCAGAAAAUAAAACUAUAUGUUAUUAUGUAAAUAACAAAUGCAUAUUAUGCUCAAUAACCUCUUAAACAUGGUGUUUAUGAGUAUCUGAGCUCUAUAAGCGUUUGCGGCAGAGGAAGCCGAUCCCAUGUAGACGAUGUAAACCCCAUCACCAUUUCUCAAUCCAGCUUCAGUUUCUGCCGUAAAUGAGAUGCAUAGAAGAUAGAGGAACAUUAAGGAGAAGGGUGAGAAGAAGAAGAAAAGACCUUUCAUGACUGAACUUUUUAGUCACUUAAAGACUAAUUAUUCACAUAGUAUAACACAAGCAAAGGGUAUUUAUAGAGGUUGAGAGAUGGUUGGAAACUAGAGAUAAAGCAAAAGGAAUCACGAGUCUCUAAUGCUUGAGUUGCUUAUCCCACUUUGAAGAGUUGGUGGGUUUUUGAAUUGGGCAGAAAGUUGAGAUAUAACAAGCUAGUGAUCUCACCACUAUCUUCUGUUCAAGUCAUUACAUCACUUCAACGUGUUAUUUUCUUCCAAUGUUCCAAAGACUUUGAACAAAAUGAUUACUACUUCAUUUCUUAUUUACACUUUGCAAACUUCAUCUCUAGAUAAGAUUAAGCCAUUUUAGUUUUGUGGUGCUGAGUGUAAGUGUCUAAUAAACAAAAGAUUCUUGACACAAAAUAAAAGAAUAUGAAUUAAGUCUACACUAAUUUCAAAGUAUUGAGGUUCAUAUACAUGUGCUCAUAUAAUAAUAAUCUCAUAAAAUGAUUGUUUAAGUAGCCAAUAAAAAGAGAAUGUGGUGCUGGCCUGAGUGCUAUUCAUAUGGAUUCUAUCCAAAGCAUGCUUACAAACUUCUAAUGUGUAACCGAGAGCAUAUACAUUUUUAUAUAGCAACUUCCAAAUUUUUCAUUUAAAAAAAAUAAUAUUGUAUUGCCGACGUUUUCAGUGGCUCAGAGUGGAAUGCACUCGUGCUACUUUGGGAAUGUAUGUAUUUAUCGUCAGUACCUUUCUUUUUGACUAAUACCUUUAAAUAACACCAAAUUAUGUUUAUAACAAAAUUUGUGCACAAAAAAAAAAUCCUAAAUAACAUUAAUUAGAAAUUCAAAACAUAUAUUUUAUUGUAUGUUUGGGUUUAAUGAUUAUGAUUUUGGGAGUGAGAUUAGAGUUUAGGAGUAUAAGAUGGAGCUCCAAGAGACAAAGAUAGAACAUCAACUCCAUCAGCUAUUGCAUCGUCGAAAGCAGCUAAGAUAGAGGAGCCAGCGCAUCCCCCAGGAUUGCAUACUUUGUACAUGGCGAUCCUAGCGUUUGGUGAACCUCCCUUAGCGGUUCCUGAAGCUACACCAUAGUAGGACGCGUUCUCCACGGCUGAUCCAGCUGCAGUGGACGAGGUGUGAGUACCGUGACCGAUCACAUCUCUUGUGGUGAAGUAUUCUGAAUCAUCAUCAGGACUUUUGUAGAAUCUUGCUCCGAUUAUCUUUCUG